rnacentral:lncRNA from 1 species
GAACAUAGUUAAAACAGGUGUAUGAAGCUGAAUGAAUCACAUCAAAAAAGUGAAAAAUGAGGACAACCUGGGCAUGGGUGGAGAUGAGCCUGGUGCUUCAAAUAGCUUCUUCUGCCCAACAGAUGGUUUCUUUGAGGGAGUUUUUGCAGUAGCCCCGCCAAGUGGUGGAGUUGCAGACGAAAUAUGAGAGUGCAACUGGUGUUACAUAAUCACAGGGGAAGUCAAAUUAUAGGUAACAAAGAUAUCAAAGGGUCAGCAUCACCUAGUACUAAUGUCUUUUCAUCUGAUUCACAGGAUAAUACAUGUUGCCAAGAUAGCUUUAUGCUAACAUACUGCCAGAGAAGAGGUUCAGCAGUUGCCAUAAAAUGGUACAUAAUGUUAGCCACAGAUGUUAGUAUAUAAUGGUACUACAUAUGUGUUUAACAUACUACUGCACCCAGCAUGUGCAUUCUGUGGUAUCUUUACUCAGCCACCCAGUUGGCAACUACUUUUUCGAAAAUGAAGUGCUAGUUUGGUUCCAUUUCACAAACAGUCGAACCAUACUCCUUUUGACACAUAUAAUUUUGUCUUUUACAUAAAAAAAAAGGAAGUCAAUAAUCGAGACAGCAUUAGAUACAUGUAACAAUUUCAAAGUUCACCUUUUUUAUGCACCCUGCCAAAGAGAUUCAUCAGACAUGCAAUUUACUGAAACCUGUGAGUCCAUAUUAGGGUGAAGCUCAAAAUCUAGAACUCAGUGCACCUUAAAAGCACCUCUAUAUAACUGGUCAUUCUUCAUGCAGUCAAUUAUUAAGAAUUAGAAUGUAUAACUACUAUGCAUUAGACGACUUUGAAAAGAAAAUUUAGGAUAUCAACACUUUUCUUGAGAAAAGAUUUUUGGAUUUCAUUAGUUAGAAUGGCAUUCCAAAUGUUGCUAUUUCCAACAAAUCUUGGCUUCUUUUCCAUAAGUAGUUAAAUUUGUUCUUUUAAAUAUCAUUCUUAUUUGUCUUCUUUUUAAUUCUUCAUAAAACAACCUGCACUAAGAUUACAGAUUUCAAAUUGAUGUUGUUGCUUAUGAAAUAGCAUUGGAUUUACAAAAGCUAACCUGCACAAUUUGAUCCACUUGGCUAGGCACAGAACCUGAGAUCUGAGUUGUUCCUGUUGUACUUGAAGAUCCAAGUGCAUGAUUUCCUUGAUUAACAUGUGCUGAACCAAAUAAAGUGCUCUCGGAAGAUGCAAAGUGGGACUUGUU